CGAAACUCGUACCUUUUGCAUCAUGAUCUAGCCAGUACCCCCAAGCAAAGAGAACUCCAGUUUGAAACCCCGAAACCUACGACGAGCUACCUCAAGGCCGCCUAAAACAGGGCAAACCCAUCUCUGUGGCAAAAGAGUGGGACGACCUUCAGGUAGAGGUGAAAAGCCUACCGAGUCAGGUUAUAGCUGGUUGCUCAGAAAACGAAUAGUAGUUCAGCCCCAUAAAUACCUCCUGCCAACCAUAACAACUACACAGGCAAACUAGAGUUACCUAUGGGAGUUAGUUAAAGGAGGUACAGCUCCCUUAACAAAGGAUACAACCUCAAAUAGGAGGCUAAGGAAUACACUCACCCAUAAGGCUUAAAAGUCCUAGUAGGCCCAAAAGCAGCCACCUAAAUAGAAAGCGUUAAAGCUUAAACCCAACCAAGCCAAACAUACCAUUCAACCCUCCAACGCCCCUAUUUAUUACCGAGCCAUUUUAUGCUAACAUAAAAGAGACCAUGCUAGAACUAGUAAUAAGAAGAAUGAACUUCUCCCCGCACAUGUGUAAAUCGAACCGGACAAACCACCGAUAAUUAACGAACCCAAAAACAGAGGGCCCCACACCACCACUUCCCCAUCAAGAAAACCAUGUCCCAACACAAUCGUUAUCCCCACACAGGAGUGCAUACCACGAGGAAAGACUAAAAGGAUAAAAAGGAACUCGGCAAACCAAAACCCCGCCUGUUUACCAAAAACAUCGCCUCCUGCCACCAAU
rnacentral:rRNA from 1 species